rnacentral:rRNA from 1 species
AUUGAACGCUGGCGGCAGGCCUAACACAUGCAAGUCGAGCGGAUGAACGGAGAUUGCUCCGGUUUCAGCGGCGGACGGGUGAGUAAUGCCUAGGAAUCUGCCUGGUAGUGGGGGAUAACGUCCGGAAACGGGCGCUAAUACCGCAUACGUCCAGAAGGAGGAAGCGGGGGAUCUUCGGGUCUCACGCUAUCAGGUGAGCCGAGGUCGGAUUAGCUAGUUGGUAGGGUAAAGGCCUACCAAGGCGACGAUCCGUAGCCGAUCUGAGAGGAUGAUCAGUCACACUGGAACUGAGACACGGUCCAGACUCCUACGGGAGGCAGCAGUGGGGAAUAUUGGGCAAUGGGCGAAAGCCUGACCCAGCCAUGCCGCGUGAGUGAAGAAGGUCUUCGGAUUGUAAAGCUCUUUAAGUUGGGAAGAAGGAAAGUAAGUGAAUACCUGGCUGUUUUGACGUUACCAACAGAAUAAGCACCGGCUAACUACGUG